GGGGGACCUGCUGACCAGUCGCCCACCAUGCCGCCCAAGCCCUGCAGUCUAUCAGCAUGCGCGAUUGGAGGGACGAACAGAGAGAUGGCGCGGGAGUUGAGACAAUAGGACAUUUCGGACACUUGCAUGCAUCCAACUUGAUCUGAACAGCAAGGUCCAUCAACACAUCUGGUGCUGAAGGGAGCAAGCCCAUCAAACAAUUUUGGGAUGAACUUAAACAGAUUUGGGGCAAAAGCAGCAAACCUUCUCUCAGGUGCCCAACAUCAGUCACCUUUGCCGUCAUGUCAACACAAAUCCUACAGACACGCCAACAUCUUGUAUGCACAAAGUCUUGCCAGAAGAAGCUUGGAAGCUGUUAUAACUGCAGCGGCCAGUGGCGGUGAUUGGGGGUUACUUAAAAUAGUUGGAAUAAAUCAGAAUUGAUGUAACUGCCAGACUGAUGGAGUGUUGCUAGUGAAAGUGCGAUCUAAAUCAAGAUGUAAUGUAGAAAUAAAUAAGCGCAGGACCACCGUGUCUGUCAAGUUAAGUCCAGAAGCAGCAUUGAACUCAGCACAACUUCCGACUGGAACCAAUCCAAACAAAAUCUGAAAACAAGAUCCCUUAAUUGCCCUUUCCCCCGAGCUACCAUAAAUACACUGCGGAGGAUCUUCCGUUCUCCUGCCUU